UACGUAGGGGGCAAGCGUUGUCCGGAAUCAUUGGGCGUAAAGAGCGCGUAGGCGGUCCGGUAAGUCCGCUCUGAAAGUCCGGGGCUCAACCCCGGGAGGCGGGCGGAUACUGUCGGGCUAGAGUCCGGAAGAGGCGAGUGGAAUUCCUGGUGUAGCGGUGAAAUUCGUAGAUAUUGGGAAGAACACCGGUGGCGAAGGCGGCGCUCUGGACCGAGACUGACGCUGAGGCGCGAAAGCGUGGGGAGCAAACAGG
rnacentral:rRNA from 1 species